rnacentral:rRNA from 1 species
UACGGAGGGGGUUAGCGUUGUUCGGAAUGACUGGGCGUAAAGCGCGCGUAGGCGGAUCUUUAAGUCAGGGGUGAAAUCCUGGAGCUCAACUCCAGAACUGCCUUUGAUACUGGGGAUCUCGAGUCCGGAAGAGGUGAGUGGAACUCCGAGUGUAGAGGUGAAAUUCGUAGAUAUUCGGAAGAACACCAGUGGCGAAGGCGGCUCACUGGUCCGGUACUGACGCUGAGGUGCGAAAGCGUGGGGAGCAAACAGG